rnacentral:rRNA from 1 species
GAGAUGGAAAAUUUAUAGUAGGACCUGGUCAAUGAAGUUUUAAAUACAUGCCUUAGCGUGAGGGUAGUAAUGUAGCAUAAUAAAUUGAUACUUAAUUAGUGUCUUGUAUGAAUGGUGAAACGAUUUAAAUUCUGUCUCAUUUUUAAUUCAAUCAAAUUUUAAAUAAUAGUUAAGAUGCUAUUUUUAAAUUGCCAGACGAAAAGACCCUAUAAACCUUUACUUUAAAUUUAGUUUUAAAUCACUACUACUAUUUUUAGCCUUAAUUAAAGUUUAGCUGGGGCGGCUUACUUCUAAAAAAAACGAAGUUUAAAUUUAAUAAAAAAUAUUUUUUAAUUAGUGUUUAUUUAAUGAAAUUAUACACUUUAGAAAGAAGAAUAUAAGACCUUUCUUGAAUUAAUCCAAAAAGAAAUUAAUAAAUAAAAGGUACUUUAGGGAUAACAGCGUUAUCUGAAUAUAGAGUUCAUAUUAAUGUUCAGGUUUGCGACCUCGAUGUUGAAUUAAGAUACCCUAAAGGGGAAGUUUUUUUUAAAGGUUGGAUUGUUCAUCCAUUAAAAUCUUACAUGAUUUGA